AGCCCUCACCUGAUCAUAAAUCAAGUGGAGAAUUUAGUCUUAACGGUGGUGGGUCUACAACGGCAGACAGUGAAACCUUUAUGGCGUGCUCAUGCGGUUCUGUCCUUACUAGUUUUCCCUCUAAAUUAGCUAUUGACCAGCACAACUUCUAUGGGUUUAACACAGCUCCUGGAGAAAGUUUUAUGACUGCUGAGAAGAGUUGUUCUUACAAAAAUGUUGAUAAUGCCUGUUUUGACAGUGUUAGUGAUUAUAAGUCUUCUCCUAGUUUGUUUACCUCUGGGUUUAACACAACCCCUGGAGAAAGUUUUAUGACUGCUGAGAAGAGCUGCUUUUACAAAAAUGCUAAUAAUGCCAGUUUUGACAGUGAUUAUAUGUCUUCUCCUAGUUUGUUUAACUUGGAAGAUCGAUAUUCACAAGAAUCCGGAGCAUCUGAAAUAGUUAUUGAAGAU
rnacentral:lncRNA from 1 species